rnacentral:rRNA from 1 species
UACGGGGGGGGCAAGCGUUGUUCGGAAUUACUGGGCGUAAAGGGCUCGUAGGCGGCCAACUAAGUCAGACGUGAAAUCCCUCGGCUCAACCGGGGAACUGCGUCUGAUACUGGGUGGCUUGAAUCCGGGAGAGGGAUGCGGAAUUCCAGGUGUAGCGGUGAAAUGCGUAGAUAUCUGGAGGAACACCGGUGGCGAAGGCGGAAUCCUGGACCGGUAUUGACGCUGAGUGAGCGAAAGCCAAAAGAGCAGACGGG